GAUGAAGAACGCAGUGAAAUGCGAUAAGUAGUGUGAAUUGCAGAAUUCAGUGAAUCAUCGAAUCUUUGAACGCACAUUGCGGCCAUAGGUAUUCCUUUGGCCAUGCCUGUUCGAGCGUCAUUUACACCCUCAAGCCUAGCUUGGUGUUGGGCGCCUGUCCCGCCGUUUUCGCGCGCGGACUCGCCUCAAAGUCAUUGGCGGCGGUCGUGCCGGCCCCCUCGCGCAGCACAUUUGCGCUUCUCGGAGGCCCGGCGGAUCCGCGCUCCAGCAAGACCUUUCACGACUUGACCUCGGAUCAGGUAGGGAUACCCGCUGAACUUAAGCAUAUCAAUAAGCGGAGGA
rnacentral:misc_RNA from 1 species